rnacentral:rRNA from 1 species
AAGACAUUGUGUCUUCGAGUCGUUGAUUUCACACUGCCGAGAAAAGCCUCUAGAUAGAAAAUAGGUGCCCGUACCGCAAACCGACACAGGUAGUCAAGAUGAGAAUUCUAAGGUGAGCGAGCGAACUCUCGUUAAGGAACUCGGCAAAAUGACCCCGUAACUUCGGGAGAAGGGGUGCUCUUUAGGGUUAACGCCCAGAAGAGCCGCAGUGAAUAGGCCCAAGCGACUGUUUAUCAAAAACACAGGUCUCUGCUAAACCGUAAGGUGAUGUAUAGGGGCUGACGCCUGCCCGGUGCUGGAAGGUUAAGAGGAGUGGUUAGCUUCUGCGAAGCUACGAAUCGAAGCCCCAGUAAACGGCGGCCGUAACUAUAACGGUCCUAAGGUAGCGAAAUUCCUUGUCGGGUAAGUUCCGACCCGCACGAAAGGCGUAACGAUUUGGGCACUGUCUCAACGAGAGACUCGGUGAAAUCAUAGUACCUGUGAAGAUGCAGGUUACCCGCGACAGGACGGAAAGACCCCGUGGAGCUUUACUGUAGCCUGAUAUUGAAAUUCGGCACAGCUUGUACAGGAUAGGUAGGAGCCUUUGAAACGUGAGCGCUAGCUUACGUG